rnacentral:rRNA from 1 species
GUCUAUGUCCAUACCACCCUGAACGUGCCCGAUCUCAUCUGAUCUUGGAGGCUAAGCAGGGUCGGGCCUGAUUAGUACUUGAAUGGGAGAAAUAUUGAAGACUCUCCC